CUACGGGAGGCUGCAGUGAGGAAUUUUGCGCAAUGGGGGAAACCCUGACGCAGCAACGCCGCGUGAGCGAAGAAGGCCCUCGGGCCGUAAAGCUCUGUCAAGUGGGAAAAAAAUUUUUUGAUCAUUAGUCAAAAGACUUGAUGGUACCACUGGAGGAAGCACCGGCUAACUCCGUGCCAGCAGCCGCGGUAAUACGGAGGGUGCGAGCGUUGUUCGGAUUUACUGGGCGUAAAGAGCGUGUAGGCGGUUUAGCAAGUCAGAUGUGAAAGCCCUGGGCUCAACCCGGGAAGUGCAUUUGAAACUGCUUCACUAGAGUAUGGGAGAGGAGAUUGGAAUUCCUGGUGUAGAGGUGAAAUUCGUAGAUAUCAGGAGGAACACCCGUGGCGAAGGCGAUUCUCUGGACCAAUACUGACGCUGAGACGCGAAAGCGUGGGGAGCAAACAGGAUUAGAUACCCUGGUAGUC
rnacentral:rRNA from 1 species